rnacentral:lncRNA from 1 species
UUUUCGUUUCGUCGUUGGGUUGCUUACAUACAUACCACAAAAAGUUACGCCCAUCGAAUACAUCAACCACUCAGUUAUUCUUUAAAUUCCGCUUAGAUUUGAUAAUUACCACGUGAGCGGUAUAGAGAAAUAUUUUGCACAAAAAGAUGUUCCAUUAUAAGUGUGCAACCAUUUAACUUCCAAGUGGGGGUAUGAUUUUGUGUCCGAGUCAGACAAUUGUUUUUC